rnacentral:rRNA from 1 species
CACGGGGGGAGCAAGCGUUGUUCGGAAUCACUGGGCGUAAAGGGCGUGUAGGCGGUCAAGUAAGUGGAAUGUGAAAUCCCUCGGCUUACCCGAGGACCUGCAUCCCAAACUGCUUGGCUUGAGUACGGGAGAGGAUGAGGGAAUUCCUGGGUGUAGCGGUGAAAUGCGUAGAUAUCAGGAGGAACACCGGUGGCGAAGGCGCUCAUCUGGCCCGAUACUGACGCUGAUGCGCGAAAGCUAGGGGAGCGAACGGG